ACGGGAAGCCGGUGAAAUGCCGGCACGGCACCCGCCACGGUGACCGGGGACGAACCUGAGCGAACAUCCCACUGAGGUUGCCUAUCAAGCGCCUCGGGAAGGGGCUCGGGGGAGGAUGAUCCGGAAGUCCGGAGACCG
rnacentral:ncRNA from 1 species